rnacentral:rRNA from 1 species
AUUGAACGCUGGCGGCAGGCCUAACACAUGCAAGUCGAGCGGAUGAAGGGAGCUUGCUCCUGGAUUCAGCGGCGGACGGGUGAGUAAUGCCUAGGAAUCUGCCUGGUAGUGGGGGAUAACGUCCUGAAACGGGCGCUAAUACCGCAUACGUCCUGAGGGCGAACGUGGGGGAUCUUCGGACCUCACGCUCUCAGAUGAGCCUAGGUCGGAUUAGCUAGUUGGUGGGGUAAAGGCCUACCAAGGCGACGAUCCGUAACUGGUCUGAGAGGAUGAUCAGUCACACUGGAACUGAGACACGGUCCAGACUCCUACGGGAGGCAGCAGUGGGGAAUAUUGGACAAUGGGCGAAAGCCUGAUCCAGCCAUGCCGCGUGUGUGAAGAAGGUCUUCGGAUUGUAAAGCACUUUUAGUUGGGAGGAAGAGCAGUAAGUUAAUACCUUGCUGUUUUGACGUUACCAACAGAAUAAGCACCGGCUAACUUCGUG